rnacentral:rRNA from 1 species
AUACGGAGGGGGCUAGCGUUGUUCGGAAUUACUGGGCGUAAAGCGUACGCAGGCGGAUAUUUAAGUUAGAGGUGAAAUCCCAGGGCUCAACCCUGGAACUGCCUUUAAAACUGGGUAUCUAGAGUUAUGGAGAGGUAAGUGGAAUUCCUAGUGUAGAGGUGAAAUUCGUAGAUAUUAGGAGGAACACCAGAGGCGAAGGCGGCUUACUGGACAUAUACUGACGCUGAGGUACGAAAGUGUGGGGAGCGAACUGGAUUAGAAACCCUAGUAGUCC